CUUUUGGCUGAAGAAUACAAUUCUUGGAUUCUUCGCCAUCCAUCGGCAUUAGACAUGUUUGAACAGAUUAUGGAUGCUUCCAAAGGGAAACAGAUUGUUAUGUUUCUAGACUACGAUGGCACUCUAUCGCCUAUAGUCGAUGACCCUGACCGUGCUUUCAUGUCUGAAUCGGUUAG